UAACGGCUUACCAAGGCGACGAUCAGUAGCCGGUCUGAGAGGAUGAACGGCCACAUUGGAACUGAGACACGGUCCAGACUCCUACGGGAGGCAGCAGUGGGGAAUCUUCCGCAAUGGGCGCAAGCCUGACGGAGCAACGCCGCGUGAGUGAAGAAGGGUUUCGACUCGUAAAGCUCUGUUGUCGGGGACGAAUGUGGAGAUGGUGAAUAACCAUUUUCAAUGACGGUACCUGACGAGGAAGCCACGGCUAACUACGUGCCAGCAGCCGCGGUAAUACGUAGGUGGCGAGCGUUGUCCGGAAUUAUUGGGCGUAAAGGGAGCGCAGGCGGGAGGUCAAGUCUAUCUUAAAAGUGCGGGGCUCAACCCCGUGAGGGGAUGGAAACUGGUCUUCUUGAGUGCAGGAGAGGAAAGCGGAAUUCCUAGUGUAGCGGUGAAAUGCGUAGAUAUUAGGAGGAACACCAGUGGCGAAGGCGGCUUUCUGGACUGUAACUGACGCUGAGGCUCGAAAGCGUGGGGAGCGAACAGGAUUAGAUACCCUGGUAGUCCACGCCGUAAACGAUGAAUGCUAGGUGUAGGAGGUAUCGACCCCUUCUGUGCCGGAGUUAACGCAAUAAGCAUUCCGCCUGGGGAGUAC
rnacentral:rRNA from 1 species